AACGCUGGCGGCGUGCCUAACACAUGCAAGUCGAACGCGAAAGGGGAGCAAUCCCUGAGUAGAGUGGCAAACGGGUGAGUAACACGUGGGUGACCUGCCUUCGAGUGGGGGAUAACGUCCCGAAAGGGACGCUAAUACCGCAUGACAUCCUGCCUUUAGAGAGGCGGAGAUCAAAGCUGGGGAUCGCAAGACCUGGCGCUUGAAGAGGGGCCCGCGCCUGAUUAGCUAGUUGGUGGGGUAAUGGCUCACCAAGGCUACGAUCAGUAUCCGGCCUGAGAGGGCGGACGGACACACUGGGACUGAGACACGGCCCAGACUCCUACGGGAGGCAGCAGUGGGGAAUUGUUCGCAAUGGGCGCAAGCCUGACGACGCAACGCCGCGUGGAGGACGAAGAUCUUCGGGUCGUAAACUCCUGUCGAGCGGGACGAAUGCUCUGUGGCUGAAUAAUCCGCAGAGGUGACGGUACCGCUAAAGGAAGCCCCGG
rnacentral:rRNA from 1 species